rnacentral:rRNA from 1 species
CCGCUGAACUUAAGCAUAUCAAUAAGCGGAGGAAAAGAAACUAACAAGGAUUCCCCUAGUAACUGCGAGUGAAGCGGGAAAAGCUCAAAUUUAAAAUCUGGCAGCCUUUGGUUGUCCGAGUUGUAGUCUGGAGAAGCGUCUUCCGCGCUGGACCGUGUACAAGUCCCUUGGAAUAGGGCGUCAUAGAGGGUGAGAAUCCCGUCUUUGACACGGACUCCCAGUGCUUUGUGAUGCGCUCUCAAAGAGUCGAGUUGUUUGGGAAUGCAGCUCAAAAUGGGUGGUAAAUUCCAUCUAAAGCUAAAUAUUGGCGAGAGACCGAUAGCGAACAAGUACCGUGAGGGAAAGAUGAAAAGCACUUUGGAAAGAGAGUUAAACAGUACGUGAAAUUGCUGAAAGGGAAACGCUUGAAGUCAGUCGCGUCAUGCAGAACUCAGCCUGGCUUUUGCUCGGUGUAUUUUCUGCAUGACGGGCCAGCAUCAGUUUUGGUCGCUGGAAAAAGUCUCCAGGAAUGUGGCACCUUCGGGUGUGUUAUAGCCUGGAGUCGUAUACAGCGCCGGGACUGAGGAUCGCAGCGCGCCUYYAUGSCUGGGGUCGCCCACAUCGCGCUAGGAUG